GGCUGCUGGCUCCGCCCAGGCAACUCGACGGGUUCUGCGCGUUGCCUCGCUCGCAUUGAGUUUAGGCGGCUGAAGGGGAAGGAGCUCUUGUGGGGGAGGGGAGCGCUGCGCAGCCUCGCCUCAGGCGGAGCGGGGAGGGCGCGAGCAGGGGAGGCAAGCCGAGGCGGGCCGCCAGCUCAAGGCUCCAUUGCAAUGCCCUGCGUGGCCCUCCCCCCGCCCGCCCCGCGGCAUGUCUUCUUCUUUUCACUCUCAUUUCAGUCUCGCGAAGCAGCCCUGAGAGGACGCGCGAGGAGCCCCUCGAGAGCCGUGCAUGCUGGAAGGGGGGGUUGCUGUGAGGCGGGUUUCUAGCGCUCCCCACACAGCUCUGAGAGAGGCGACUUCGGCGGGGAGAGAAGAGGGGCGGCCUGGAAAGAGCCCCUUGGUGCUUCAGUGGCAACGUGGUAGCCUGUAAAUAUUGCCCCCAGCCCUGUGAGCAGGAGGCUCCCCUGUCUGGAAGGUGGUGGCUCCCUCCAAAGAGCUUGGGUGUUUCCAGGGUUUGAUUAUGGAUGGCUUCCCCCACCCGUUGUCUCUAUAUGCUGCUUGGAAUAUUGUUUAAAUACAGACUUACAAUAUUUGUAAAAACUAAAACAAAAAUAGGCGUUAAAUAGGAUAAAAUAAAACAAGAAUAGGUUAAAAUCUAAAAGAAUAGGAUAAAAUCUUUUUAAAAAUCUAGCGCAGUAUAAUAAAGGAAAUAUAGGUCAUUAAUUUAAUUAGGGAGAGUUAACGAAAAUAGUGUGAAGCAUUUUCAAAGCAGGUUAGAACCUUUAGAACUAGUGUAUUAAAAUGAUAUUCAAAGUGGCAUAUGGAAAUAAUGAAAAAAGCUUAUCCACAAUAAAAACCUGAAACCCCAGAAAGCAUAGGAUUUAUUUCUCAUAGCAGUCCCUAAGAUGGCUUGGCUGUAGCCCCUCACAGCUAAGAUGGGUACCCUGACACCCAUUACUCAGAGCAGCCUGCAAAGGAGCUAGAGGAUUACUUUCUUAUAUGGACUCCCAUGUUUUUGCUUUGAAUAACCCUUGAUUUAGUCAGAGGAUUGCUUUCUUGUUCUAGACUGUAUCUCAUUGCUCUACAUGGCCUCUCAUUUAGUAGGAGUGUGCCUUUCUCCUAGAUUUUACGCUUUGGUUCUAAGAAGCCCCUGAAUAGUGGUGAAAUGGCAUAUCUGACUUGCCCAGACAAUCAGCUUGGUCUGCCCUGCCCGUGGAGGAAAGUAUGGAUGGUGGAAGUGUGACAUUUCCAACCAGCCCAGAUAAUCAGCUUGGUCUGCCCUGCCCACAGAGGAAGCAAGGACAGUGGAAAUGCAGCAUCCUUGACCUCUUCAAGCAGUGUGGUGUGCUGAGCAGGCUCGGCUGGCUGAAGGGACAUGGUGAAGAGGCAAGGAAACAAGUCCUGAAGGCUUAAGAUUUGAGGAGGCGAAGGGGAGAAAAGACAAAGUAGUGCAGGAGGAGGAAGAAAAACAAGCAGAAAGGAGCAACAGGAGACAUGAAAAGGGAAGAAGUAGAAAUGAUUAUUUUUCAAGAUGCUUCACAGAAGAAAUGGAAAGGUUCUGCUUCUACAAAUUGGAUGGCUUGAUUGCUGACUUUCUCCCUGCCAUGUAUCACUCUGAGUUCCUGGAGCUUGGCUUUCUUGUGCUGAACUUAAUGUCCCUGCACUGAGGAACCCCUAAAAACGUGGGAACAUAGCCUUCUUAGUGACCAUACAUGCGGGAGCCCCUAACUGGGCUGGGGUGUGGCUUUCCCAUGCUGGUCUUCAGCUCUUUGCACUGGGGGAGGGCUAAAAUUGUGGGAGCAUGACUUCCUAGUGGCUGUACACUGAGGAGCUCCUGAUUAGGCUGGGCAGGGGCGUAGCUAUAAUUGAAUGAAGGGGUUCAAAGAACACGGGCCCCCAGCUCCUGAGGGCCCUCCAGUCCAUCCCUCCCUAUUUUCUUCAUUGUCUCCCUCACUCUGGGGGGCCGCCCAAGAGAGGGAUGAACACGGGCCCCCUCUCUCCUAGCUACGCCCCUGAGGCUGGGGUGCGUCUUUCCCAUGCUGGACCUCACGUCUUUGCACUGGGGAGCCCCUGAUCUAGUUGGGGUGCAGCGUUUUUUAUGCUAGACUUCAUGUCUUUGCACUGGGGAACCUCUAUAAUAUUUGGAGCAUGGCCUUUGUAGUUGUCAUAUACUGAAGAGCCCCUGAUCUGACUGGGGUGCAGCUUUUUUCAUGCUGGACUUCACGUCUUUGCACAGGGGAGCCCCGGAUCUAUCUGGGGUGCAGCUUUUUUCAUGCUGGACUUCACAUCUUUGCAUUAGGGAGCCCCCCAAAUUGUGGGAACAUGGCCUUCAUAGAGUCUGUAUAUGGGGGAACCCCUAAUUUGCCUGAGGUGCAGCUUUUUUCAUGCUGGACUUCAUGUCUUUGCACUGGAGAACCUCUAUAAUAUUUGGAGCAUGGCCUUUGUAGUUGUCAUAUACUGUCAUAUACAUACCCUGUAAUAUUUGGAGCAUGGCCUUUGUAGUGGUCAUAUACUGAAGAGCCCCUGAUGUGGUUGGGAUGCCCCUUUUUUCCUGCUGGACUUCAUGUCUUAGCACUGGGGAGCCCCUACAAUGCUUGGAUCAUCAUCUUUAUAGUGGUCAUAUACUGAAGAGCUUCUGAUCUGUUUGGGGUGCAGCUUUUUUCCUGCUGGACUUCAUGUCUUAGCACUGGGGAGCCCCUGUAAUAUUUGGAGCAUGGCCUUUGUAGUUGUCAUAUGCUGAAGAGCCCUGGAUCUAUCUGGGGUGCAGCUUUUUUCCUGCUGGACUUCACAUCUUAGCACUGCGGAGCCCCUAUAAUAUUUGGAGCAUGGUCUUUGUAGUGGUCAUAUACUGAAGAGCUCCUGAUGUGGUUGGGGUGCCCCUUUUUUCCUGCUGGACUUCAUGUCUUAGCACUGGGGAGCCCCUAUAAUAUUUGGAGCAUGGCCUUUGUAGUGGUCAUACUGAAGAGCCCCUGAUCUGGUUGGGGUGAAGCUCUUUUCAUGCUGGACUACUUUGUCCUGGGGAGCCCCUCAUUUGAAUGAGGUGCAGCUCUUUUCAUGCUGGACUUCAUGUCUUUGUGCUGAGGAGCCCCCAAAAUUGUGGGAGUAUGGGCUUCUCAGAAUGGACUUGGUGUCUGUACGCUGAGUGGUUGCUCAUUUAUCUGGAGUUUGUCUAGCUCCAUUCCUGGCUGCGUGACUUCACCCUUCAUCUUGUGAGUGGUGAUGUGGUGGGAUCUCCCAACUGCCCCAUCGCUUUGGCUUCCCUGACCUCCAAGCAGCCUGGUGGUGUGAUGAGCGGGUUCUGCUGGCUGAAGGCACACGGUGAGUGGACUCUGGCCAGGCAUGGAGACGCUUGCUGAAUCCUGAAGCUUUCCAUUCUCAUUCUCCUUGGGUUGGGCUCUUGGAUGAACAGCCCUGGUCCUCAAGAAACCCUUCUAAAGAGGGAAAAGAGUAGAUUAUUUAUUUUUUAGUAUUUAUCCGCUUUCUACACAAUAAGAUGGAUCUCUGUCUCCAAGGGGCUCACAAUCUCACAAAGGCACAGAAGAUAGACAGCAGCAACAUUCACUGGAGGUCCUGUGCUGCGGGCGGAGAGGGCCAGUAACUCCCCCCCUGCCAACUAAAGAGAAUCACCCCGUGAAAAGGUGCCUCUUUGCCAAGUGAGCAGGAGUUCUUGAAAGGUAUGAAGCUUUUUUCUUUGUUUUUGAAGGCAAAGGGGAGAAUGGAGAGAAGAAAGAGGUGCAGGAGGAGGAAGAGAAAGGAGCAGAAAGACGCAAGAGGAGACGUGGAAAGUCGCUGGAGGAGACUGGCUCUCCAGGAGCUUUACCGAAGGAAGGGGCAGGCUGUGCUUCCACCAGUCGGAUGGCUUCCUUUCUGUCUUCCUCUCUGCCGUGUAUCGAGGGCUGAUUGGUCUGCAGCGUGGCUCCCUGGUGCUGGACUUCAUGUCUUUGCACUCAGGAGCCCCUCAAGGGGUGGGAGUGUGGCCUUCUCAGGCUGUACUUAAUCUCUGUUCACUGAGUCCCUCCAUUGGGUGGGAGGUGGCUUUCUCAUGCUGGACCUGAAGUAUGUGUGCUGAGCCGUCCCCGAGUGGUGCUGGGGGCAUUGCUUUCUCGCGCCACUGCUUGAUGUAUGUGGGCUGAGCUGCCCCUGGCUGGGCCCGGCUGGGGGCAUUGCUUUCUCGCGCCGAGCCUUAGGUAUGUGCGCUGAGCCACCCCGGCUGGGGCUGGGAGCAUUGCUGUCUUGUGCCAGGCUUUACGUCUGUGCGCUGAGAUGCCUCUGAUUUGGCCAGGGGGUGGCUAUCUCCAGUCCUUGCUGCCUGACUUUGCCCUUCAUGCUCUGAGUGGUGUUGAGGAGGCAUCUCCCACCUGCCCAGACCUCCUGCUUGGUCUUCCAUGCCCAUGGAGAACUGCAGCCUGCCUGACCUUUUCAAGCAGCGUGGUGGUGUGAUGAGCAGGCUCUGCUGGCUGAAGGCACAUGGUGAGUGGACUCUGGCCAGGCAAGGAGACGUGGCCUGAAGCUUUCCGUUCUCAUUCUCCUCGGGUUGGGCUCUUGGAUGAGCAGCCCUGGUCCUCAAGAAGGCCUUCUAAAGGGGAAAAAAAGUAAAGGUCUUGAAGAAGAUUUUUCCAUGCUUUUGAAGGCAAGGGGGAGAAAAGACAGAAGAAAGAAGUGCAGCAGGAGGAGGAAGAAACAAGCAGAAAGGAGCAACAGGAGACUUGAAGGGGGAAGAAGUAGGUGGAGAAGACUGGCUUUCGAGAAGCUUCACAGAAGAAAAGGGGAGAUUCUGCUUCUCCAAGGUGGAUGGCCUCAUUGCUGGCUUUCUCUCUGCAAGGCAUCCCUGAGUAGAGGCUGAUAGACCUGGAGCCUGGCUGCUUCAGGAUGGACUGGAUGUCCCUGCACUGAGUAGCCCCUGAUUUGAGAGGGACGUGGACUGAAGAGGAUGGAUUGAGUGUCCAUACACUCAGUGGCCUCUUCUAUAGCGGGGAUUCAGCUACCCCAUGCUGAACUUCACGUCUCUGCACUGGGGAGCCCCCCAAAUUGUGGGAACAUGGCCUUCAUAGUCUGUAUACUGAAGAGCCCCUGAUUUGCCUUGGGGUUCAGCUUUUUUCAUGCUGGACUUCAAGUCUUAGCACUGGGGAGCCCCUAUAAUAUUUGGAGCAUGGCCUUUGUAGUGGUCAUAUACUGAAGAGCCGCUGAUCUAUUUGGGGAGCAGCUUUUUUUCAUGCUGGACUUCAUGUCUUUGCACUGGGGAGCCCCUAUAAUGUUUGGAUCAUGGUCUUUGUAGUGGUCAUAUAUUGAAGAGCCGCUGAUCUAUUUGGGGUGCAUGUUUUUCAUGCUGGACUUCAUGUCUUUGCACUCAGGAGCCCCUAUAAUGUUUGGAGCAUGGCCUUUGUAAUUGUCAUAUACUAGGAGCGCCUGAUCUGGCUGGGGUGCAGCUUUUUUUAUCCUGGACUUCAUGUCUUUGCACUGGGGAGCCCCUAUAAUAUUUGGAGCCUGCCCUUUGUAGUGUUCAUAUACUGAAGACCCCGGAUCUGGCUUGGGAGCAGCUUUCUCAUGCUGGACUUCACGUCUUUGCAGUGGGGAGUCCUUGAUUUGUCUGGGGUGCAGCUUUUUUCAUGCUGGACUUCAGGUCCUGGCGCUGGAGAUCCCCUAAAAUUUUUGGAGAAUGGCCUUUGUAGUGUUCAUAUACUGAAGAGCCCUUAUCUGGUUUGGGAGUGGCUUUUUUCAUGCUGGACUUCAGGUCUUGGCACUGGGGAGCCCCCCAAAUUGAAGCAUUAUCAAAGCAGAUUAGAUGUUUUAGACCAACUAGUGUGUUAAAAUAAAUAAUAUUCAAAGCAGCAUAUGGAAAUGAUGAGAAAAAGCACAUUGAGACUAAAAGAUUGAAAGGCCAGAACACGCUCCUAGCCCCAGUCCCUCAGGUAGCUCUUAAGUGGCUCCAGGUCUCUUCCUGCUAGGAUCCUACAGACUUUCUCCCCUUGAUCCGAAGGGGUGUGGGGGUGGGAUUUGAUGUAGAAAUAAAGAUCAAUGUUAAUUGUCUUUGUAUAGUUUUGCUUACUGACAUGCUUAUAGGAUGCUGAAGAUGCUGUUUCUGUCAAGCACACAGAAUUGAUCCUUAUUUCAAGUUGUCUUAAUCUGUGUUUUAUUGUAAAUGGCCCAGAGCCAUGAGUUUUGGGCGGUAUACAAAUAUGCUGAAUAAAAAGUCGUCAAUAUUGUCUGCUAGAA